rnacentral:rRNA from 1 species
UUGCAUAUCCAAUUAUGUUCUUAGUUAAUUCUAAGUUCUUUUUAAUAAGAAAAACUAAUUGAGUAAUUUUUAUAAUAUUUAAAAAUUCGUUUACA